rnacentral:rRNA from 1 species
AGUGAACGCUGGCGGUAGGCCUAACACAUGCAAGUCGAACGGCAGCACAGUAAGAGCUUGCUCUUACGGGUGGCGAGUGGCGGACGGGUGAGGAAUACAUCGGAAUCUACUUUUUCGUGGGGGAUAACGUAGGGAAACUUACGCUAAUACCGCAUACGACCCACGGGUGAAAGCAGGGGAUCUUCGGACCUUGCGCGAUUGAAUGAGCCGAUGUCGGAUUAGCUAGUUGGCGGGGUAAAGGCCCACCAAGGCGACGAUCCGUAGCUGGUCUGAGAGGAUGAUCAGCCACACUGAAACUGAGACACGGUCCAGACUCCUACGGGAGGCAGCAGUGGGGAAUAUUGGACAAUGGGCGCAAGCCUGAUCCAGCCAUACCGCGUGGGUGAAGAAGGCCUUCGGGUUGUAAAGCCCUUUUGUUGGGAAAGAAAAGCAGCAGGUUAAUACCCCGCUGUUCUGACGGUACCCAAAGAAUAAGCACCGGCUAACUUCGUG